CCAUUUAAGUGCCCUGUGUCGUCUUCCUUGUAAAACCACUCCUCACACUUGGACCUAACACUCUCUAACCAAGGAAAGGAGGGAACCAUGUAGAAUUCACCACCAAGAGGAUUUCUCCCAAGAUGCCAUCUUGCCUUUAGUCAUCAUGCCUGCUUCUGACUUGCUUUAUGAUAGUUUCAUACAUGAGAGCCCAGCCCUAAACAAGACAUUUAUUUGUUCCAGUCCUCUAAAG